rnacentral:lncRNA from 1 species
UGUGGCGAGUGUAAGCCAAUUCUAUAUAUAUCUCUCCUUUUCAGUACAUGUACUUGUAACGAUAUACAUUCUUGCGACAUGACGAGAUGCGCUUCUAUCCCUAACGAGGCCUUCGUGCCAAAUUGANNAUAGGGUCGCAUCUUGGACAUGACACCGCUUGUCCUCCUUUUUGGAGUUCGUCUUUCCCCGUGGCCGUGGCUUCUCACCCUCCCCAACCUCCUCAUUGGCUUCCUUACCCCCUGCCCUGUGAGGGCGGCAUAUUGGAGCUUAAAAUUUUCCUCAUCUUUGAUGAUCCUCCAAUGAGAAAGGUUGAAGGACUUGUCUUCAUAUUGGACCUUGAAUGCCUCUAAAACUUGAAAUGCCUACAAAUAAAUUACACGAN